UACCUUUACAUUUUAAUUAAAUUCAGGCAUAAUAUUUGGUGCUAAUAUAGCUAUAGUAAUAAACGUAAUUUAGAAUAGAGGUUGCGGACUCGGGGGCAGUACCCGACGCCUCCACCAAUACUCGAUGAACUUCAAAAAUUUGCUGCGUCGUCUUAUUAAGUGCUGUGGUAUUUAUGUGUUCAGUAACUGCUGUUGCUCUUUGUAUUGUUGACUCAUUGUUCUUUUUGUAGUUGAUUUUCGUAUAUUCUGUAUGAUUUUAAUACAGCUUAAAUAUAUGAGUAUCAUAAACAAUUGAUAAAAUGAAAGAGUAAUAUUGAAAAAAGAUAAGUAGUAUUUUUUUUGGGGGCGAAAUAGGAUCGACGUGCCUAAUAAAAAAGUUGCUUUUACUCGGUAUGAUUCCACCGGUGGUUUUUGCCAUAUGGAUCAAAACAAAGAAACGCAAACGAUAAUCGUUAUGUAGGUGUUCCAGCUUUAGCUGCAGCUUAAGCCUACGCGGCUGGGGAUUUGCCGGGCAACAGAAAAAUCCCAU
rnacentral:tmRNA from 14 species